GUGUCAGCAGCCGCGGUAAUACGGAGGGUGCAAGCGUUGUCCGGAUUUAUUGGGUUUAAAGGGUGCGUAGGCGGCUUCAUAAGUCCGUGGUGAAAGCCAACAGCUCAACUGUUGAACUGCCAUGGAUACUGUGAGGCUUGAGUACAGACGAGGUAGGCGGAAUGGAUCGUGUAGCGGUGAAAUGCAUAGAUACGAUCCAGAACACCGAUUGCGUAGGCAGCUUACUAGGCUGUAACUGACGCUGAGGCACGAAAGCGUGGGGAGCGAACAGGAUUAGAUACCCUGGUAGUCC
rnacentral:rRNA from 1 species